rnacentral:lncRNA from 1 species
CUAGGAUGUCAUGCCCAGAGCUGUAGCGGUCAUCUUGUGACCAUAAGGGAAAGGCCAUAAAAAUAGCAGAUAUAUCUGGCCUACCAUCCUUCUGCUGCUGAACCAAUGCCAACAGUGGGACUCAACUAGGAGGUCUUAUUACAGUACUGUGCUGCUUUUUCAACCAUGGAGAGGUUUGUUUUCUAGAAAGCAAUUUUUAAGAAAUAG